UACGGGGGGGGCAAGCGUUGUUCGGAAUUACUGGGCGUAAAGGGCUCGUAGGCGGCCAACUAAGUCAGACGUGAAAUCCCUCGGCUUAACCGGGGAACUGCAUCUGAUACUGGUUGGCUUGAGUGUGGGAGAGGGAUGUGGAAUUCCAGGUGUAGCGGUGAAAUGCGUAGAUAUCUGGAGGAACACCGGUGGCGAAGGCGGCAUCCUGGACCACGACUGACGCUGAGGAGCGAAAGCCAGGGGAGCAAACGGG
rnacentral:rRNA from 1 species